rnacentral:rRNA from 1 species
AGCAGCCGCGGUAAUUCCAGCUCCAAUAGCGUAUAUUAAAGUUGCUGCAGUUAAAAAGCUCGUAGUUGAAUUUCGGGACUAAUAUGUCGGUCGUGCCUCGGUACGUACUGGUUUAUUGGUUUCUCCUUUCUGAAGAACCAUGAUGUCAUUUAUUUGGUGUCGUGGGGAAUCAGGACUGUUACUUUGAAAAAUUAGAGUGUUUAAAGCAGGCUCACGCUUGAAUACAUUAGCAUGGAAUAAUGAAAUAGGACGUUUGAUUCUAUUUUGUGGUUUCUAGGAUCGACGUAAUGAUUAAUAGGGAUAGUUGGGGCAUUAGUAUUCAAUUGUCAGAGGUUGAAAUUCUUGGGAUUUUUAUUGAAGACUAACUACUGCGAAAAGCAUUUUGCCAAGGAUGUUUUCAUUAAUCAAGAACGAAAGUUUAGGGGAUUCGAAGACGAUCAGAUACCGUCGUAGUCUUAAACCGAU